rnacentral:rRNA from 1 species
AGAGUUUGAUCAUGGCUCAGAACGAACGUUAGCGGCGCGCCUAACACAUGCAAGUCGCACGAGAAAGGGCUUCGGCCCCGGUACAGUGGCGCACGGGUGAGUAACACGUGGGUAAUGUUCCCUCGGGCGGGGGAUAACCUUCCGAAAGGAGGGCUAAUACCGCAUAUGACCACAGCCCCGAAGGGGGAUGAGGUAAAAGC